CCCACACUCACCCCUGUACCCUGUGUGUGCCCACACUCACCCCCACGCUGAGCUUGGCUGUCACACCUUAUCCCUCAUUCCUAUUGGUGCUUUCGGUAUAAUCAGACCAUUUCCUGGCUUUUAUUUCCCACAAUCACUCACACCAUGUCCUCACUUUUCUCCGGACUUAAUUCCCCAGUCUGAUCUUAAAGACGGCCCUGACUCCCAACAGCCACAGCCAGUCACUGGACCCUAGGGAAGUCUAUAUGUGUAUAUGCAUUUGUAUCUGUGUGUCUCUGUAUGAACAUCUUUCUAUAUGUGUAUCUUUGUGUGCCCCUCUGUAUCUGUGUGUCAAUGUUUGCAUCUAUAUGUGUCAUUCUGUGUAUCUGAAUGUUAGUCAUUAAGUGUGUCUGUGUUCCUGCAUGCGUGUCAGUGUGUGUAUCUGUUUGUCUUUGUGUGUGUGUGUGUGUAUAUGUAUGUAUUUCAGGGUGUGUUUGUCUGUUUAUCUGUAUGUGUGUUAGUGUGUAUCUGUGUAUGCACCUGUGCUGUCUGUCUUUGGAUGUCUCUACCUGUGUAUGUGUAUAUCUGUAUUUGUGUCAAUGUUUGUAUCUGUUUGUCUUUAUGUGUGUGUGUGUCUGUAUGUAUCUGCAUGUAUUUCAGGGUGUGUUUGUCUGUGUGUGUGCGUGCCAGUGUGUCUUUGUAUCUGUCUUUGGAUGUAUGUACCUGUGUAUGUGUAUGUGUGUAUCUGUAUUUGUGUCAGUGUUUGUAUGUGUGUUUUCUCUAGUUGAAAAAUAAGUGUGGCUAAGUCGUGUGUGUGUGUGUGUUUAGGUGAAAGACAUGAUAGCAUGCUAGAGGGGGGAGACCAGGGUCCAAUCAGC